rnacentral:lncRNA from 1 species
AUUCUAAGAGACGAAACCUGGGGAAGUGUUCUCGGAUGCUCAAAAGGUUGCUGACUGAGACAGAAGUUAAACAAAUAAUGAUAUCUGAAAUAUCGUGCAAAGCAAAUCAGUUACCACCAGAGCGUGUUUUUGUGAAUGGUGAAGCUUUAUCUCAGAAAGAGCUCGUUAUACUGCUUAGCUGCCCAAACCCUCCAAAAAAGCUAAAUCCAGGAACCUAUUGGUACGAUAAAGUGUUGGGUUAUUGGGGAGAGGUAAACAUCAGAAACUGUUGCUAUUAUUUAAUUUUCUUUUCUUGUUUAUUUUGAUUCCAUUGCACCAUGAUAGAAUUAAUAUUUGAAUUCCAUUGCACCAUGAACAGGAAGGACACCGGCCUUGCCAGAUUAUAAGCCCCCAGCUGAAUGUCGGGGGUCAGAUAAUGAAAAAUGCUAGCAACGGAAAUACAAAUGUCAUGAUCAAUAAUCGGGAGAUUACUAGAAGAGAGCUCUGGAUGCUUAAGGUUAUUUCAGUGGGCAAAUUUGUGUGUUCAUUUGAAAUUCAGUGUUUCUAAAAAUAAGAUCCAUUCUAUUCUGUAUUUCUGUUAAAUGCUGCAGUUAGCAGGAGUGCAAUGUGAAGGACAACCUCACUUUUGGGUGAGCGCAGAUGGUUCCUACACGGAAGAGGGAAUGAAAAAUGAAAAGGGGCGUAUAUGGGACAAGGUAUGUCUGCAUAUGGAUGUGCAUUGGCUUUCUUAGUUAAACUAUCCCUUAAUUUCUGAUUUGUGAUUACUGUGUAUGUACUUUACAGAGUACAAUAAAACUAGUUUGUGCUUUCUUGUCUUUGCCAACCCCGCCUGAUUCUGAGAAUCCUUGUGGCAAUGAAGUGAAUGGUGUUAACCAGUGUGAGCAGCAAAGACUUAUUAAUCUUCUUCUUCUUGGUGAACACAAAUCUGGCACGAGUACCAUAUAUAAACAGGUGAGAUUGAUUGGAACCUGUAAGAAACUUUGUCUAAUACACGUGCUAUUAUUCAUAUACUAUUAAUCUGACUGGUGAAUAUUGAAUGGCUUAUAUUUAUCAUAUAAUGCAGCCAGCUUGUGUUGUCGUUUUGCUUCAUGUCUUGUCAUUUCUAGGACUUCAAGAUUUUAGAAGGAAAGAUGUUGUAGAGCAUGUUAGUUGAUUUUUAAAAUUUGUAUUAUCUGUAGUGUACUUAUUCACAAAGAUGACAUAUUAUGUUAUUUGACUACUAGCUUAAGAUUUCAUUAUUCAACAACAUUCAUCGGAGGUACAGUAAAUUGUGUAAUUGCACUUUGGUAUGAAGAGGGUUUUUAUUGUGCAUAAAAAGCUACAUACAAGAUGGUCUCAUAUCAUCACAUUGCCGCUGAUGCUUAAAAUAUAGUAGCGGAAAUCCUUUCUCCUUCUUGGUUACAUGCUGUGUUUUGUGACUUUAUGGGAAAAUUAUGCCUUUCUAGAUCAUGUUAAGUUUUUGUAUUUGUAAUAAGGCAAAGGCCAUAAGUCUUCGUUAAGGUCUUAAGACUGAAAUUUUGAUUCCAUGGUGAAAAUUGAACAUCAAGUUUUAUUCUUUCUUUGGGCUGUAAUUUAAGCCUUUUAUCAUUUUUUUUUAUUUUGGAUCCCUUUUGUUACCUUUUUCUUUUUCUCCCUUUUUAGACAUUGAUGCAAAGGCACAUGAUGACAGAAAUGUUUGUUUCAGGCCAAACUUCUGUUUAAGGUUCCUUUCUCUGAAGAAGAGCGUCAAAAUAUUAAGUUCAUGAUCCAAAGUAAUCUGUACUUCUAUAUUGGUAUUUUGCUUGAGGGCCGUGAGCGAUUUGAAGCAGAAAGAUUGUUUGGGAAGGGAAAAAGACAGGUUAUUGACGAGCCAGGCCCUUCAGGUAACAUAAAGAUUAGAUUUACUUCUCUUUUACAUUGCUUGUAUGAUUUUCUGUUUAUUGAAUGUUCCAUGAGAUCUUGUUUGGAGCAUGCAGAUGACGUAUAAAAAUGUUUGCCUUUGUUAUCUACUGUUCUGAGUUAUUUUUGGUAGAUAUUUGACAUAUGCAUAUCACUUUUUUCUGGGAAGUCUAGCCCGUCAAAAGUCAAGUUCUUUGUUAUUAUUUUACAUGCAUGGAGAGCAUUUUUACUUUUGCUUGAUUUUUUGGACUUCUCACUUCUCAGUGCCUUUAGCGUUAAAAUUAUCAAUUGUGUUGGAUUGAAGUUCAUCACAUUGGCAAGUUGACCCUGAGGGUGGGAGGGACAACUAUGAUGUCCAGUAUUUUGUACAUUUAAUUAUUGAGAAUUUAAUAACUGUUGUCUCAUUGAAAUUUAAGUAUAUUUUAAUUCCGUACCUUCACUAUGUUCUUCUUGUGGGCACAAUUCUGGCCUGUGGUUUUGAUUUCAAUAUCUAGUAGAACAUGAAAUUUGGAGAUAAAUCAUUGCCUGCAGCCAAUUAGAACUUUCUUGUGACUAACCUGUGCCAUCAGCAGUAAACCUCAAAUUUCUUUAAAAUGUUCUUUUAACAUGUUUAACUAUUUAAAAUCAUUGGAGUAAAGAGCCUAUUGAAAUAGCAUCACAUAGCUUGUGAACAUAUUUGAUGCUUCUUGGUGGUUGCAAAUUUCAAAUUUUUUUUAAAGAAAAAUAAUCAUAUUUCUUUCUUUCCUUAUUUUCUAGUUUUUUUUUUAAAAAAAUUUCAGAGUAAAAAAUAUCCAGCAUGAAGAAAUUUAAAUUUAUAAUUAGUUUAGCAAUUGGGAGGACUGAUUUUAUUCAGGUACAACACUAAUACAGGGCAGAUUGAUGAUAAAAUGAUGUAUUCCAUCAGUCCAAGACUGAAAGCUUUCUCUGAUUGGCUUCUCAAAGUCAUGGCAUCUGGUAAUUUGGAAGCCAUAUUCCCAGCCGCUACCCGUGAAUAUGCACCAUUUAUUGAGGAGUUGUGGAGGGAUGCAGGCUUCCAAGCCACAUACAACCGGAGAAAUGAAUUAGACAUGCUUCCCAGACAUGCCACCUAUUUCCUAGAACGGGUUAGAUCACUAUCUAUGGUCAUUGUCUGCUGAGUAUUUCAUUAUUCAUAUUUGGUUCAGCUUCAGUAUGUAUCUUUUGUUUUUGGAUCAAUAGAGUCUUGAUUGUUUAUUUCAUUUGCCUCAUGAUUGUCCAGUGAUCUUGAAUAGCAUCCUCUAUUCCAUAGACAUAAUUGUCAAUGUACAUAUGACCUGCACCGUAAUUUAAAAAUUCCAAGUAUAUAUUUAAUAUUCUUGUAUUUUGGCUUCUUAUUAAUCAUGUGCUUUCUUAUCCCAUGUCAUUUCAGAAAACAUAUUUCAUAAAAGAUAUUUUUUGAAACUAAAAUGAAAGGCAUUCUGAAUUCACACCAUCAGUUCUCUUCGUGUAUUGUUUCUCAAAAGCUUGAACGAGGAAAGAUGAUUGUUUUGAUUUGUACUUCACUGUUUGCUAUUUUUUUCAAUAUUAACAUUAGUUUCCCUCUCAGGCUGUUGAGAUUUCAAGGACAGGCUAUGAGCCCUCAGAUAUGGAUAUCUUGUAUGCUGAGGAAAUUACAUCAAGCAAUGGGCUUUCGUCCAUGGUAUUUUCAUUACCGGAGCAGACACAAGAAAACUCCAUAAGUGACUCUUCCAAUCAGAAUGAUCCCUUGCUCAGGUUACUGUCUAAUCUGUGCUUUAAAUUUACGUAUAAGCCAAACAUGCAUUGCACUUUGCCAGAUUUUUGCUAUUGCUGUUGCUGUCAAAUGCCAUUGUGAGAUUUAGCUACCGAAGGAAAGGACUUCAUGGGUAGUAAUUCUGGCUUGCAGAUUGAAUUUUGGGUAGCUUAACUCAGUUUGAAUGGGGAUAUUGUCAUCAAUGAAUUGAGUCUGCAAUUCUGUUGGAACUGGAAGUUAUUAGCUAAGUUAGUGGUCCCACUUGGCUUGGCAAGACACAGAAAGAAUAAUCAGUUAAUUGCCUUUCAACUUCAAGAAUACUUUAAAUUUACCAGCAUUUCAUACUUGAGUUUUAGCUAUUGAUUUAUUUCUCUUCUUUGGCAUGAAAUGUUUUAGCAAUCAAAUAUGAAUAAUCUUUUACAGCUGUGAUGGAUCUUUGGCAUAAGUUUCUUGAAAGUGGGGAACGAUGUAUGAUUGAUUAUAAAUUGUUCAUCUAACUUACCAAUUUUUGCUUUGCACUUGCAGCUAUCAACUCAUUAGAGUGCAUCCAAGAAGCCUCGGGGAGAACUGCAAGUGGCUAGAAAUGUUUGAAGAUGUUGAUAUGAUCCUCUUUUGUGUUUCUUUGACUGACUACGAUGAAUAUUUUGAAGAUAGCAAAGGAUUUCUCACCAACAAGAUGUUGGCAAGCAGGCAGCUCUUCCAAAACAUUGUCAUUCAUCCAACCUUCAAUCAAAAGAACUUCCUUCUGAUACUCAACAAGUAUGAUAUGUUAGAGGAAAAGAUUGAAGAAGUUCCUCUCUCUCGAUGUGAAUGGUUUGAAGACUUCAAUCCGGUGAUCAGCCAUAAUCACCAUAGCACUAGUAGAAGAACUAGCAACACACCACUGGCUGUAUCUGCCGCCCACUACAUUGCAGUGAAGUUCAAGAGGUUGUUCGAUUCUCUAACUGGUCGUAAGUUGUUUGUUUCAGUAGUUACUGCCUUGGAGCCUGAGACUGUAGAUGAAGCUCUCAAUUAUGCAAAGGAGAUUCUGAAGUGGGAGGAAGAGGAACCUGUCUACACUAACAUUGAGUCAACUGAUUACGAGGCAAGCUCAUCAUCAUGAAUUUUCUUCUCGGGUUGAAUUUUGCUCAUCCAUCCUCAGUUAUACAAAACAUUGGAAAGGAUUUUUUUUUUUUUCCAAAGAUAGAAGAACAUCAGAAGAAAAUACAUUGGGUCAAGCACAUGCUUGUGUAUACUAAUCCAGAUUUGCAUAGAAGUUAGGGAGAUUAAGAUUCUUUCCUAGAGCUGUAAAGAACUGUCGUUUUGCCAUUUCAAUUAAGAUUUAGUAAAUAAAAGAAGAAUAAUUACUUUGCACAAUGAGACACAUAGCUGACAAGCUUGCAUAAAUACAAACGGACAUGGAAUUCAUUUUCGUUGCCUGAAUUUAACUGACGGAUUACAUAUCUUGUCUACAAACAAACAUGAAAAAAAAGACCUUUUUAACUACAUAAGGCUUCACAGAAAGAUUGAAUACACAUCAACAAGGCACAAACCGGUCCAUAAGCAAACAGAUAGUAGUCUCUGAUAUUGUACUUUCAUCUUCAACCUCUUUGGUGCUCUCCUUUUUAUCUUCUUUCCCACGUACUUGUUCUUUCUUAGCUCUUAACACAAACGGCUUCCUGCCUUUAACCUUCUCUCCCAGCUUCGCAAGCUCACCCAUGCAUAUCUCCACAACUGCCGACAUUUUCACUGCGAUAACCAAGAACCCACUUGGAAUUUUCAGCUGGCUCUUUCUUUCUUGUUGAUCUUUCUUUAUUGAAUAUGAAACGAGAAGCAACGUGGGGUUUAUAAAGAAGAGAAGGCGAGCAAAAGUCCACAUAGAAUUUGGCGGGUUCUGGAGACCCGCUGGUUUUGACUGUUGGGGAGAAAAAUCAAUGUGUGGAUGCCCACAGAGAUGCCGUUUUGAGAACCUUCUGUUCCAUUUAUCUUUCUUUGGAUUGGAUAUUCCCGCGUUUGCAAGAAAAUAUCCUUUUGCGUGACAGUUCUAAUGUGUGACGACUCACACAUUAAUUAUCAAUGCUCAAUUUCAAAACUAACCUCUAGUUCUUAACUUGGAGUAUUUGAUCAAACGGUGAGCUAUUAAUAUCUUACAUUGUUUUAUUAAUUUAGAGUUACAUCUUAAAACAUUUUAUUAGCACAGACUGACAGACACGUAACAAUUUUAUAUUACUAUAUAAAAUCUAAUAAAAUUAGACUCAUUAAUAUAAUAUUUGAUUAUAUAAUAAAAGAGUCUAUAAAAAUUUAUUCUGAUCAAAUAAAUAAAUAAUAAUUAGAGUGAUUUAUCCCGUGAUAUGGUUUUAAACCGCACCAAUUUUUUUUUUAAAAACUUAAAAAGAUCUUUUUAGGGUAGAGUUGUAUAGCAAGAUGCUAAUUUUAUUUUUAAAUUUAUAUUUUAUCAAUUAAAUUAGAGGUUUUUAGGAAAUAAAAUUUAAAAAGGGUAUUGUAAGGAUUUUAGAGGGGUGUUAGAAGCCCCACUCUUUUGUACUAGUGCUACGGACAUAUGGUUACAAUUGAUAUUGGCCUAUGGGUAAAGCCCUGUAUUUUAUGUUAUCCACUAUAAUUCUAGGUGAACUUAUUGAGGCUAAUCUUGAAUUAGGGGUGGACAAAUACUUCAAUCCAAUUGAAUCUGAAUCGCAAUGCAGCGAUGCACAUACAAGCACAAAGUUUUGAUCCAAUCCAAUUUAUAUUCGGAUUUAAUCGGAUUGUAUUAUAAGUUUGGGUUGAGUUCAGAUUACUUUUUUUUUUCCAAUUUGUUUAAUCCAAAAUCCAAUCGCGUUAAUUCGAACCUGAAUUUUCCUACCCCUACAACUAUCAUUAGAGGAUAUAAUUAAAAAGAAAUGAGUUAUACGAUUAUUUGCAAUAAUUCAUGUCUAAAGCUAUGAAGCAAAUACCCAAACAUCAUCAGCAAAUAAUUAAUGUCUUAUUUAUAAGUUUGAAAACGAAAUAACCCCAUCGAUAGCGCUUCCACAUUGUAAAUCGCACUUAUUCCAUUACAAACAAACAAUUAAGUACCAUACCAUAACCUAAAUUUCUAUCUUAAAAAUGGUUCCUUAUCUAAAUAUAAUAAUUAGUCAUUGAAAAAUCCAUAAAAUUUAAUAUACAAUCACCGACCUUAUGAUUGAUGUAAAAUGCAUUUUUUUUUCAAUUUUAUUUUGUCAUACACCCACCACUUGUUUUCUAUAUUAACAUAAAUUCCAAUUUUUUCAUUUAUUAAUAUUUUAAUGCGAUCACAAUACUCGUUCCAAGAUGUAUUAUAUAGGAUUAAUAUUAUGACAUAGUCUCAAGUCUGACCUAUCUCAACUUAGGUAGUUGAACGUACUUGACCAAAUUACCCUUUCUUAGCGCCAAAAUUCAGUUAGGUACAAUCAAUCGCAGCAGCAAGUACUUUGAAAUUUUGAAACGAAGCACACAUGUUUCGUUCUGGCGUGACUGAUCAGUUCCUCGCAGCUUCCUCUUCAACCUCAAAGCGUUGACGAAGGAAAAAUGAAAAGAGUCUUCACUGGUGAGAGCACAACUCUACAGGAAAGAAUUCACAUUUUCUUUGUUCUUUAUUAUUUCUUUCAACUGUCACUUUGCCUUCAUGAUUUUCAUUUUCUUCAUUCUCUUCGUGGCAGCCUCCCUUUUCUCCAAUUCCUAAUAAACGCCAAAAAUGCUUGGUUUAGUUCUCUUAUUGAUUGAUUUUGCUUUCUGGGUUUGUGAGAUAUGUUGAUUUUGCUUCAUGGGUUGUUUUUUCAAUUAGUUAUAUUUUGUGGGUUUUUGAAAUAUUUGGUCAUGCUUCAUCUGUGUAUUUGAUGAUCAUUUCGUUUUGCUUCAUGCUUCUUAAAUCAUUGAAAUGAUUGAUUAAGUUUCUUGUAUGCUUUGAUGGAUUGUUGAAGUAAUUGAUUUUGCUCCGUGGGUAUGUUGAACUAUUGGCUUUUAUUUAUUGGGGGUUUUUUAAUUAGUGUUUUAAUUGGUUUAUUGGUUUAUUGAAAUAGGGUUACUGGUUUUGAGUUGAUUUUGAGUAGGGUUUACAAAAUGGCUCAGCUUUUGAGGAAAAUUCUGCCUGUUGUGCCAUUGAGAUCAAAACCUUAUGAUGAUGAUGAGGAUGAUAAAAAUAACACUGAAUAUUCAUUUGCCGUUGAGUAUUCUGGCCCUCUGAUCAGUUCUGAUAUUCCCCUGGCAUCGCCAAUAGUUGUUGACCAAAUCCCCAUUGCUGUUACGGUUGCCUCUCCUUCCUUGUUAAGAGAUAGGUCGUUGCCAGUAAUCCAACCAACUGUAAAAAGUACUCCAGGAGGCAGAAGACGGUUGAAGGAGCCUGAAUUAAGUUCUGAACCUACAUUACGUAGUAAUUCAUUAACCAAUUCCGGAGCGUCCUUGACUGGUCCUAAUGUGUCCUGUGAAUCACAAAGUUUGGUAGAUAGCUCAGGUGAUGUUGGAUGUGCAACUGGUGAUUACUCCCAGCCCAAGUCAGUUAAUGGAGUUAGAAGUUCCAGUAAAUUCAGAAGUCCUGAUGCUCAAGAUAAUUCAUCUGACGUAAUAAGAAGUUCUGCUAAACUGAAUAGUCUUGAUCGUCAUGAUAAUUUGUGUGUAAUUCUAAAAUUAUCUGAUGGUAGUGAAGAAGGUGCAGAUGCAGGCCUGCAAAAUGGUAUAAAUCCUGCCAAUUUGGAUUUAACAGAUUCUGGUUUAAGUUCACAUGAACAUACAUCAAAGUUUUUUUCUUGCAAUGAGGGAUAUUUUGGUGAUGAAGAAACUCCUUCCAAUGUUAGAGGAUCAUCAGUUGUUAUUUCUGAUGAUCCUGAGACAAGUGAUAUAGUCCAUGAAGAAUCUGAUAACUCUGAAAGCGUCCAUCUGAGAGCAAAGGCUGAAAGAUAUGGGAAGAAAAGUUCAUGCUGUCAAUGCUUGCAGGAAUAUCAAUCUCUUGAAAUGGAGGUUUGCAUAGUUUGUGAUACAAUGUAUUGUUGUAACUGUGUGGUGAGAGCAAUGGGGUCAACACCUGAAGGAAGAAAAUGUGUUUCCUGUGUUGAUUCCAGGUUAGAUGUGUGCAUGCCCAUGUCAUCUAAUGGAAUAGGAAGUUCUGGUAAAUCAAAUAGCCUCAACUGUUACGAUAAUAUGCCUGCAAACAAUGAAUUGCCCGAUAAUAGGAACGAUGGCGCUAAUGCAGGAUUUCAUGAUUAUAUGAAUCCUGCUGACUCAGAGUCAACGGAGUCAGAUGUAAGUUCAUACAGUGUUUCAUCUGAGGUGUUUUCUUGCAAAGAGGAGGGUUUUAAUAACGAAGAAACUCCUGGCCAUGUUAGAAGACCAUCAGUCGUUAGUUUCCGUGACCCUGACCCAAGUGAUACAGUUUAUGAAGAAUCUGAUUAUUCUGAGGUUGAAAGCAUCCAUGAGAGGCCAAAGGCUGUAAGGCCAGGGAAGAAAGGUUCGUGCUAUCGAUGCUUGAAAGGAAAUCGGUUCACUGAGAAGGAUUUCUGUAUUGUUUGUGGUGCAAAAUAUUGUUCAAACUGUGUGCUGAGGGCAAUGGGAUCAAUGCCAGAAGGAAGAAAAUGUGUUACUUGCAUUGGUUUCAGCGUGGAUGAUUCUAAGAGACGAAACCUGGGGAAGUGUUCUCAGAUGCUCAAAAGAUUGCUGACUGAGACGGAAGUUAAACAAAUAAUGAGAUCUGAAAUAUUGUGCAAAGCAAAUCAGUUGCCACCAGAGCGUGUUUUUGUGAAUGGUGAACAUUUAUCUCAGAAAGAGCUCGUUAUACUGCUUAGCUGCCCAAACCCUCCAAAAAAGCUAAAUCCAGGAACCUAUUGGUAUGAUAAAGUGUUGGGUUUUUG